UUGACAGCACUGGAAACUGAAGGCCUCUAUUUAUCCACAGACCAGGUACAAUACGGCCAGUGGCAGUGCAAGCUUCCGACACUGCCCUGCCAUGUGCCUCAGCUCCAUUUCUGAGAGACCCAUUGCGGUGCAAGCUUGUCUAGUUCCCAUCCUUGUCUAGUUUUUUAUUUCU
rnacentral:sRNA from 1 species